AGAAACGACUGUGAAUACUUCAGCAGAAGAUGAGUCCAAGGAUAAUGAAGGUGCUGCUGAAAAGAUUUUAAAUCCAGUUGAAUCUAAUAUGGAUAACUCAAAGUUGAAUCAACAAAAUCAGUCUCCGGUCCACAUUCAUGUAGCGUUAACUGAACAAAGAAAAGAUGAACAAAAUUUUUUAGAUUCGCAAGUCACUAUUCCUGAUGAGCUUUUACCGAGUCUUAAUGUAUAUUUGAAUCAAGAAAGAAAAUAAUUGGACAUCCAUCGGCAAACAAAGCACAAGAAACGCCCAUGCAUGUAUCAAGGAUUAAGCGACCAUCUAGAUUCAAAGAGUCACCAUUCACAAUGAAUUUUGGUUCAGCGGAUGAAGGGGAGUGCAAAAUAUUCUAUCAGAAGCAUCCAUUCGUAUCUCAUCCGGUUAAUGAUAUAGAAUACACUAAGGUUACCAACAAGUUUCUGAAGUGGCUGUCUGUGGAUAUUCUUAAAUUUCAUGCAAAAAAAAGCAACAAGCAAGAACACUAUAAGAA